AGAGUUUGAUCCUGGCUCAGAACGAACGCUGGCGGCAGGCUUAACACAUGCAAGUCGAACGCCCGAGCAAUCGGGAGUGGCAGACGGGUGAGUAACACGUGGGAACAUACCCUUCGGUUCGGAACAACGUUUGGAAACGGACGCUAAUACCGGAUACGCCCUGGCCGCGAGGCUUGGGGAAAGGCUUGACCGCCGAAGGAUUGGCCCGCGUUCGAUUAGCUUGAUGGCGGGGUAACGGCCCACCAUGGCGACGAUCGAUAGCUGGUCUGAGAGGAUGGCCAGCCACAUUGGGACUGAGACACGGCCCAAACUCCUACGGGAGGCAGCAGUGGGGAAUAUUGGACAAUGGGCGCAAGCCUGAUCCAGCCAUGCCGCGUGAGUGAUGACGGCCUUAGGGUUGUAAAGCUCUUUCGCCCGCGACGAUAAUGACGGUAGCGGGAGAAGAAGCCCCGGCUAACUUCGUG
rnacentral:rRNA from 1 species